UCUUUUGUAACUCUUCCGCGCAUGAUUACACUGAGAUUGAAUUUUGAUUCUGUGGAGAGAUUUAGGCUUCUUGCUUACCGGUUGUAUAAGGUCCUUAGAGGUCUCUCCAGUGUGAAGCACCUAUCUCUCCUUUUGAUGGCUUUAAGGUGGUUCUAAAUAAUGCAGUAGAACUUCUUGCACAAGUACCAUUGUUCAAUGACGUAACCACUUUGGUAUUGGAAGUAGCUCCGGUAGAUAUUGGUAGUAAAGUGCUAUUGAUCAUGCUCCAAUACUUCCCCCGUCUUCAAACUCUGAUAUUCAAUGAGUAACCGCAAUGUUUUCUCUUGUAUCGUGGCCUCAUGCAACUUUGUUAACAUGGUCGAGUUAUGAUAGUUUUAGGGGAUUAAACUGUCGUCGAAUAAUAUAGAAGAUGAUGGGGUGUUGGAGCCACUGCCUUCAUAUUUCUUGUCGCAUCUUCAGACGUUUAAAGUGAAUCAAUUCUGGGGAAGCCCGAACGAGCUUGACGCUUUAAAGGUUUAGUUCAAGCAUGCAACGGUCUUGGAGAAGAUGGUUCUGGUUUGCUGCACAAAUUUUAAAGGGGGUCGAGAGAUGAAGACGCGAGUUGCCAAACAGUUAUCACGUCUUCCCUAAGGAUCAGAAAGCUGUGAAGUUCUUGAAUUUUGAUAGAUCCCAAGGUUGUAAUUUGUACUAUAGACCUUAGCUUAUUUUCUGACAUCCCUUCCUUUUGAACUUACUGACCUGCAAUGUCUUGUGUUUAUUUGUUUUGAUAAGCACAAAUGGUUACUGAUUCAACUGUAUGUUGAUUAUGUUCAACUUCACUGACAGAGUAUAACAUGCACAUUUUGGCAAAACAGUCAAGUCUGUAGGGUUACUUUCUGACCAUUGUGUACUAAGAAGGGUAAUGACUUUCACACUUUUCA